rnacentral:sRNA from 1 species
UGGGGCAGGGGGGUGGGGGACUUGCUGCCAAACAGUUUCAAAGUUGUCCCAGAUGCUGGGCCUUGGGGGGUGGAGGGAGCCAGAGGCCAAGAAGGCCUGGGGCUGGGUGAAGCCUGCAGCUCCGUGGCCUCCAGGCCAUAAAAAAUGCAGUGGGGAGGAAACGGCCCCACAGUGGAGCUAUUUAGGCCCGGCUUCAUUUCAAAGACCUUGUUUCCACUUCGUUCUCAAACUUAUUUUUCUAAACAAGUACUUUUGAUCAGCUGGAAUGUUGGACUUCUCUUUGGGCUUGGGACUCCUCGAGCCUACACAAUCAGCAUGUCCACGAAGCUGUCCUUCACAGCGGGGACCUUGGUGAAGGACGGAGAAGCUGGAGCAAGAAUCCAAGAGAUGGAGAAGUAUCAAAACCAGGAAGGAGAAGGCUGGUUACUUAGGUGAUGCCAAACUCAGGACGCUCUGACUUGAGCUGAAGCUGUGGAUCGAAGACCCACGGGAGCCUGCAGCGUGUGCUGCUUCAUCUCCGACUUCUCACUGAAAUCCGGACGGCGUAUAUGCAGAGUUGGUUUCCUUAAAACAGCUCACCUGCAGGUUAGUGGACACUGAGACCGCGUACAAAUUGUGGUCGUUGUAAGAAAAGCCACUGUGAUCAUUUUGUACACAUAUUUUCAUGUGUGUCUUUUGGGUCAAUACCUAGAAGUGCAGUCGCUGGGUCACCGGGCAGGCUUGUAAGAGAAAGCAGCUGGCUUCCUUUCUUUAGCAUCUAUACUCUGUGCGCCUCACAGCGCAUGGGAAGUGUAUCGGCGUUCCAGUUACUCUACAUCCGGGUCAGCACUUGGCAUUGUCAAUGGUUUUGAGUUCAGCUGUUCUAACUGUUGUGACACGGAAUCUCACUGUAGGUUUGUUUGUUUGUUUGUUUGUGUUUGCUUUUAGGAGAGCAGGUGAUUUUAAUACCUGAGCUCCAAAGACUCUGUAUGUGACUGUGGUUGCUAACUUUUCACCAGCCACAGACAAAUCCUGCCUGUAUCCUUCUCCCUCACCCCCACAAUGAAUUGUGUGGUUGUCAUUGCUGCUGCUGUUGUCUCUGAGUGCGGUGCUGGGAAUCGAACCCAGGACUUUGCUCAUGCCAGGUAAGCACCGCUCCCUGAGCUAUACCCCUGGCCUUCUAAGAAGGAUUUUAGCCUCAGCUCCCUGUUUUGUUUGGCCCUCAGGGUGCAGACCUUCAACAGCACUCUGUGUGGUUCCCCACAAACACCCUUACUUAUUGAUUUAUUCAUUUAUUUAAAGGAAUACCCCCUUAUCCAUUUACCAGCCAGACCCCCAGCCCUAAGUUAAGCAACCACACAAACAGGUUUGAGAUCACAUUCUCGGAUGUUGGCUUAGUGACUUUUCCUAAAAUAUCUGGACAGAAGCAACUUGAGGAAGAAAGGGCUUGUUCUGAAGUACAAUUUGUUGUGGGGAGCUCCUGGAGGCAGGAGCAUGAGGUGGCUGGACAUUCGGCACCCACACUCUGGAGGCAGAGAGUAACAAGUGCUCGAGUUAGCCAGCUUUCCCCUUUCCUUUUCCUUUCUUCUUUUCUUUUUUUUGUGACAAGGUUUCUCUGUAUAGCCUUGACUGGCCUGGAGCUCACUCUUUAGAUCAGGCUGGGCCUCAAAAAUCACAGAGAUCCUUCUGCCUCUGACCUGAGUGCUGGGAUUAAAGAAGUGUGCUACCACUAACCCAACCUAGCUUCUCCCUUUUAAGCAAAGAUCCAAGCAUAGUGAAUAGUGUCACCCACUGUUAGGGUGGGUCUGCCCACCUCAGCUAACCUAAUUAAGACAACCCCUCACAGGCAUGCCCAGAAAC